rnacentral:rRNA from 1 species
AUUGAACGCUGGCGGCAGGCCUAACACAUGCAAGUCGAGCGGGUGAAGGGAGCUUGCUCCUGGAUUCAGCGGCGGACGGGGGAGUAAUGCCUAGGAAUCUGCCUGGGAGUGGGGGAUAACGUCCGGAAACGGGCGCUAAUACCGCAUACGUCCUGAGGGGGAAAGUGGGGGAUCUUCGGACCUCACGCUAUCAGAUGAGCCUAGGUCGGAUUAGCUAGUUGGUGGGGUAAAGGCCUACCAAGGCGACGAUCCGUAACUGGUCUGAGAGGAUGAUCAGUCACACUGGAACUGAGACACGGUCCAGACUCCUACGGGAGGCAGCAGUGGGGAAUAUUGGACAAUGGGCGAAAGCCUGAUCCAGCCAUGCCGCGUGUGUGAAGAAGGUCUUCGGAUUGUAAAGCACUUUAAGUUGGGAGGAAGGGCAGUAAGUUAAUACCUUGCUGUUUUGACGUUACCAACAGAAUAAGCACCGGCUAACUUCGUG